UUGAACGCUGGCGGCAGGCCUAACACAUGCAAGUCGAACGGUAACAGGAAGCAGCUUGCUGUUUUGCUGACGAGUGGCGGACGGGUGAGUAAUGUCUGGGAAACUGCCUGAUGGAGGGGGAUAACUACUGGAAACGGUGGCUAAUACCGCAUAACGUCGCAAGACCAAAGAGGGGGACCUUAGGGCCUCUUGCCAUCGGAUGUGCCCAGAUGGGAUUAGCUAGUAGGUGGGGUAACGGCUCACCUAGGCGACGAUCCCUAGCUGGUCUGAGAGGAUGACCAGCCACACUGGAACUGAGACACGGUCCAGACUCCUACGGGAGGCAGCAGUGGGGAAUAUUGCACAAUGGGCGCAAGCCUGAUGCAGCCAUGCCGCGUGUAUGAAGAAGGCCUUCGGGUUGUAAAGUACUUUCAGCGGGGAGGAAGGGAGUAAAGUUAAUACCUUUGCUCAUUGACGUUACCCGCAGAAGAAGCACCGGCUAACUCCGUGCCAGCAGCCGCGGUAAUACGGAGGGUGCAAGCGUUAAUCGGAAUUACUGGGCGUAAAGCGCACGCAGGCGGUUUGUUAAGUCAGAUGUGAAAUCCCCGGGCUCAACCUGGGAACUGCAUCUGAUACUGGCAAGCUUGAGUCUCGUAGAGGGGGGUAGAAUUCCAGGUGUAGCGGUGAAAUGCGUAGAGAUCUGGAGGAAUACCGGUGGCGAAGGCGGCCCCCUGGACGAAGACUGACGCUCAGGUGCGAAAGCGUGGGGAGCAAACAGGAUUAGAUACCCUGGUAGUCCACGCCGUAAACGAUGUCGACUUGGAGGUUGUGCCCUUGAGGCGUGGCUUCCGGAGCUAACGCGUUAAGUCGACCGCCUGGGGAGUACGGCCGCAAGGUUAAAACUCAAAUGAAUUGACGGGGGCCCGCACAAGCGGUGGAGCAUGUGGUUUAAUUCGAUGCAACGCGAAGAACCUUACCUGGUCUUGACAUCCACGGAAGUUUUCAGAGAUGAGAAUGUGCCUUCGGGAACCGUGAGACAGGUGCUGCAUGGCUGUCGUCAGCUCGUGUUGUGAAAUGUUGGGUUAAGUCCCGCAACGAGCGCAACCCUUAUCCUUUGUUGCCAGCGGUCCGGCCGGGAACUCAAAGGAGACUGCCAGUGAUAAACUGGAGGAAGGUGGGGAUGACGUCAAGUCAUCAUGGCCCUUACGACCAGGGCUACACACGUGCUACAAUGGCGCAUACAAAGAGAAGCGACCUCGCGAGAGCAAGCGGACCUCAUAAAGUGCGUCGUAGUCCGGAUUGGAGUCUGCAACUCGACUCCAUGAAGUCGGAAUCGCUAGUAAUCGUGGAUCAGAAUGCCACGGUGAAUACGUUCCCGGGCCUUGUACACACCGCCCGUCACACCAUGGGAGUGGGUUGCAAAAGAAGUAGGUAGCUUAACCUUCGGGAGGGCGCUUACCACUUUGUGAUUCAUGACUGGGGUG
rnacentral:rRNA from 1 species